AUGAACAUCGCCCUUUUAUCCCAGUGGCUCUGGCGUACUUCGCAAGGGCAGGGUGGCCUCUGGUUAGACAUCAUCCGGAACAAAUACCUUCAUGGGAAGCCCCUGGCCUUCUGUCAGCGCUCGGGUGGCUCCUAGUUCUGGCAGUCGGUCAUCCAACUACUCCCGGUUCUUUGCAUUGGGACAUCCAUCUCGGUUGGAUCUGGGGCUGCGAUUCUGUUCUGGUUCAACCAUUGGGCAGACGACACCCCCUUCACCGCGCACUUCCCUGACCUAUUCUCCAUCGCGGUCGACCCUUGGAUCUCCGUUGAGAGGGCCCUUAUUGACUUAGGGCGCCUUGCCUUCUAGAGACCAUUUGGGCCUCCGGACUCUGCCGCUUGGCACAAGUUGCUCGACUGUGUCGCCCUCCAGGAGCCUAGGGUGGACGCUUGCCCGGAUUUAGCCCAGCGGCGCCUUGAGUCAUCUGGCCAAUUUUCCACCAAAUCCCUCUACCAGGCCAUUGCCCCUUCCUCCGCCCCUUCCCUUAUGGCCUUUUGGUCCAUCCGCCUGCCUCUGAAGAUCCAAAUCUUCAUGUGGCAAUGGAUCCGUGGGCGGACUCCUUCUAGAGUGUAG
rnacentral:rRNA from 1 species